rnacentral:rRNA from 1 species
AACGAACGCCGGCGGCAGGCUUAACACAUGCAAGUCGAACGCCCCGCAAGGGGAGUGGCGGACGGGUGAGUAAUGCGUGGGAAUCUACCCAGUUCUACGGAACAACUGAGGGAAACUUCAGCUAAUACCGUAUACGCCCUACGGGGGAAAGAUUUAUCGGAAUUGGAUGAGCCCGCGUUGGAUUAGCUAGUUGGUGGGGUAAUGGCCUACCAAGGCGACGAUCCAUAGCUGGUCUGAGAGGAUGAUCAGCCACACUGGGACUGAGACACGGCCCAGACUCCUACGGGAGGCAGCAGUGGGGAAUAUUGGACAAUGGGCGAAAGCCUGAUCCAGCCAUGCCGCGCGAGUGAUGAAGGCCUUAGGGUUGUAAAGCUCUUUCAGUGGGGAAGAUAAUGACGGUACCCACAGAAGAAGCCCCGGCUAACUUCGUGCCAGCCGCCGCAGUAACAC